ensembl:lncRNA
GUCAAAAACAAGACAUCUGAAAUGAGUUAAGCUUGAUUAAUCUUGAUGUGUGCAUCUUCUCACUGAACAUGACUUGCGUUACAUGAACCGACGUCACGCCGCACUGAGAGAAUCAUCCUCACUAUACGACACAGUUUUCAAAGGGAGACUUUUUUUUUUUUUUAGUUUUAGUGUCGUUGUAGUUUCUAAGCAACAGAAAUCCGGGUACGAAGAGUUCGAUGAAGCAGCAGACGGCUUCACGAGGAACGAGCGACUUCAUCUCAAGUUGAACAACAAGUAACACAACGACACCGAGCACACAAACGCAGAGGAGGCAAAUACUUCAUGUUAACACAACGCGCAAAACACAGGAACCGCGUCUCCAGCCUGCUUUCCACAUGAAGUAGCACAAACUCAUUGCAGCUACAGAUUCGACGGGCACAACUUGAGAGCAACUGGUCUCAGAGCUUCUGAAUACAUAAAUAUGGACUCCGCCCAAGUCUGAAAUGUUAACACGCUGAUCCGUCCGCAUCCACUGUUUUCAACGUGAGCAAGAUGGCCGCUGCUGGGAGAAGGCCCUCGCGGUCGGCGCGCCAUGUGACCACGGCAACCACAGAAAACCUCAGCAAAGGAACCGAUACAGGAGCCGGAUAUCACAAUGACUUGGCCUCGGAUUCCCUGUGCGGUUGCAAAUUCCCAACGAGGACACUGAAGUCAAUGCCCAUCCAAUUACUUCGUUCUAAAGUAUGUAAAAUCAUGCAACGGUGAGGAAAGGAAGGAUUAGGCUACGGCUCGACUAUAGCAUGAGGUUCUCUUUCCUUCCAAAGACUCUGAAUGUCAAAUCUUUUUUUUUCUUUUGUGUGUGUGUGUGUGUUGUUUAAUUAGAGAAUGCUUAUCAUAGACGCAUGGCGCGCUACUGAGAGGUGACAGCACCCCAGUGUUGUAAAAUUAAUUAUAUCACUAAUGUGGACCCUGUGCAUGUGAAAUAGCUGAACUCUCCCCAAAUAGCUCAUUAAUCUUCAGACAGCCACUCCUGGACUAGGUGAAGUGGUCUUGAAUUUCAAUACCCAUCCUUGCUGGUUGUAACCUUUCCCUCCUCUCGCUCGAGCAGCCGAUGGGGGAACAGGAGCAUUGGAGAGAGAAUAAUAUUGUCUGCAGCGGUAUCUCUAGCACUUCUCUCUGUGAGUCAUAUAAUUACACACACCUACGCAGUUUUCCUAAACACACACACACUCUCUCUCACACACACACACUUGCGCAAAACCAGGCUUAGAGUUUAAAGUGGAGUACGCCCGAGAAGUGCUGAUGUAUCCUAUGAUUAUUAAAAAAAGAAAAAAUACUGCCCGCCGCACUAGCAUAAACAAAUCACUUGAAAUGAAAUUUUUCAGGUAAUAAAAGUGCGUUCUUGAAAAAGACCAAACUGGACCCCACUGGUUCUUAUCCGUUUUUAGCCGUCGCAGCAAAAGUAUGCAGGAAAUUAAAGUUCUCGAUUUAAAGAUUUGUUUGAUACACUGCAAACCUUUCCACUUGUUAUUAAAGCCCUCCAGAGAUUUUUAUCGUAUCACAUGAUCAUUAGUGGAUGGAAUGGAGUUUUUAUCUGGAACCUUUUUCUUACUCCUGCAUUAGAGCAUCGCAAGCAGGAAUAGCAAGAGAGAGCAAUAAGAGGACUGUGAAGAUUAAAGCGUCAGCGAAAUUUUGGUUGCCAGGUGAAACUAAAGAAUGAUAGAUCCUAAAUUUCCCACAGUGCAACGUUUACAGUGUUUUUUAUCACUUUCCACGCUUGGUUAAUACCAACAUCCAUCAGUUCCCAAAACAUCAGCAGUUCCGGAUGAUGUAAAGAAAAACAAAUUAUGUCAGUCAGUUCGACCUUAAACAACCGCUUUAUUACUGGAUGAACUUUGUGUGUAAAAUCAAUGCGGUGCUGUUUUAUCAAAUGGCUAUUUUUUACCUCCCAAACAGCCGUUUAUUAAACAAUUUUGCAUCAGU